rnacentral:rRNA from 1 species
UACAGAGGGGGCAAGCGUUAUUCGGAAUUAUUGGGCGUAAAGGGCGCGUAGGCGGUAUGGCAAGUGGAAGGUGAAAUCCCUCGGCUUAACCGAGGAACUGCCCUCCAAACUGCUUUACUUGAGGCCGGGAGAGGUGAGUGGAAUUCCCAGUGUAGCGGUGAAAUGCGUAGAGAUCCGGAGGAACACCAAAGGCGAAGGCAGUGUCCUGGGGAGUACCUGACGCUCAGGUGCGAAAGCCAGGGGAGCGAACGGG